rnacentral:rRNA from 1 species
ACGCUGGCGGCGUGCCUAACACAUGCAAGUCGAACGAGAUCCAUGGGAGCUUGCUCCCGGAAGAUCUAGUGGCGAACGGGUGAGUAACACGUGAGAAACCUGCCCUGGAGUGGGGAAUAACUCGGGGAAACUCGAGCUAAUACCGCAUACCCUCGGAUGGUCGCAUGGCCGACCGAGGAAAGAUUUAUCGCUCUAGGAGGGUCUCGCGGCCUAUCAGCUAGUUGUGGGUAACGGCCUACCAAGGCAACGACGGGUAGCUGGUUUGAGAGAACGAUCAGCCACACUGGGACUGAGACACGGCCCAGACUCCUACGGGAGGCAGCAGUGGGGAAUCUUGCGCAAUGGGCGAAAGCCUGACGCAGCAACGCCGCGUGCGGGAUGACGGCCUUCGUGGUUGUAAACCGCUUUCAGCAGGGACGAAAAUGACGGUACCUGCAGAAGAAGCCCCGGCUAACUACGUG